rnacentral:rRNA from 1 species
GGACAUACCAAAAAUAUUUUUUCUCCCAGAAAUGUUUUUGAUAAACAGUCGAAAAUUAAAUUUGCCGAAUUCUUAAUUAUUAUUUUUUUUAAUUUACUAAUUUAAUCAUAAUUAUUUCAAUUUUAUUAUUCAAUUAAACAACUUUACCUCCCCUUAAAGCUAUCUAAUAAAAUAUUAAAUUAAUUUAAUUAAUUACUACAAAUUAAAAUGAUUACUAAUAUUAAGUAUACUACACAAAUGAAACCUUUACCUAAAAAAUUAUAUACAAGAUUAUCCCUGCACAAAUAUAAAAAUUAAACAAAAUAAAUUCAAUUGAUUAAAUCAAAAAUAAAGCAACUAGAUAUAAAAAAUCUAAAUUUAUAUCAAACCCACAUUACUUUUAACUUAUUUUUUUACACAAAUAAAAUUAAGUAAUAUAAAUAUUUUUUAUUCGAGAAAAAAUUCUAAAAUAUAUAUUUAAAUUAACCCUGAUACAAAAGGUAAAAUUAUUUAAUCUUCUAUUCUUUUAUACUUCUACCCUUACAGUUAACAAAAAAAAUUAUUUCACUAAUCCAUUAAUUUAAAUUAAAUAAAA